rnacentral:rRNA from 1 species
UACGUAGGGGGCAAGCGUUGUCCGGAUUUAUUGGGCGUAAAGAGCGUGUAGGCGGCCUGGAAGGUCAGCUGUGAAAACUCGAGGCUCAACCUCGAGACGUCGGUUGAAACCACCUGGCUAGAGUCCGGAAGAGGAGAGUGGAAUUCCCGGUGUAGCGGUGAAAUGCGCAGAUAUCGGGAAGAACACCGGUGGCGAAGGCGGCCUGCUGGGACAGUGCUGACGCUGAGGCGCGACAGCGUGGGGAGCAAACAGG